UACGUAGGGUCCGAGCGUUGUCCGGAAUUACUGGGCGUAAAGCGCACGUAGGCGGCUUUGCAAGUCGGAUGUGAAAUCCCUCGGCUCAACCAAGGAAGUGCAUCCGAAACUGCAGAGCUUGAGUACUUAAGAGGAUCGCUCGGAAUUCCCGGUGUAGAGGUGAAAUUCGUAGAUAUCGGGAGGAACGCCAGUGGCGAAGGCGGCGAUCUGGGAAGAUACUGACGCUGAGGUGCGAAAGCGUGGGGAGCAAACAGG
rnacentral:rRNA from 1 species